UACAGAGGGUGCGAGCGUUGUUCGGAAUUAUUGGGCGUAAAGGGCGCGUAGGCGGCGCCACAAGUCACCUGUGAAAACUCUGGGCUCAACCCAGAGCCUGCAGGCGAAACUGUGGUGCUGGAGUAUGGGAGAGGUGCGUGGAAUUCCCGGUGUAGCGGUGAAAUGCGUAGAUAUCGGGAAGAACACCCGUGGCGAAGGCGGCUCUCUGGGACGGUACUGACGCUGAGACGCGAAAGCGUGGGAGCGAACAGG
rnacentral:rRNA from 1 species